rnacentral:lncRNA from 10 species
GGCAAAGUGCAGAGGAAGGAGGAGCCACUGCUAGUGGGUACGAGGUUUCUUCUUGGUACAAGGACUUCUACGUUCUGUCCUCCUGCAGCCAUCUAAAAUCAGCCAGAAAGGUUUAGGAUCCCAUUUCCUGUUCUUGCAUCGGCUGUCCAAGCUGCUGUUCCUCUCUCCGCAGUAAGAGGGUGUUUCUCUCCCUGUUCAAGAGGAGCACCAACACUUGAGGACAGUAUCAUCCCUAGACCUUGGCAAGAGAGACCACUGAGUGAGGCAUCCAUGGAACCCAAGGAAGAGGCCUACGAAGAACCUGCAGUCACCUUCUAGACCAUUCUCCCUCACCAAACUGUCCCCUCCAGAGAGCUGAGGACUGGAUCUUCCCAUGCUGACACCUCCAGUGGGAAAGAAAAUUCUAGAUUCAGCUCUGGGUGUCCAAGUCAUUAUGAAGGCAUAUUUGUCAAGGUGGAAGAAAAGGACAUAUUCUAUUUAGCAGUUUAAAGAAGUAAUGCAUGACUCUGAUUUGCGGCUGCAGGAUAAAUCCGAACUAUUUCAGGGAGAUGUCAUGGAGAGCUCAUCUCUCAGCAUCAAAGUUGCCUCUCCUGACUUUUGAAUUUUAAGUGUUCUGUGUGGAAGAAAAAUGGAGACAACAAAUUUCUAUGCAUGGAUUCAAAGAAUCCUCGUAAUAUACAGACUACAUUCUCCCCAGCUUUUUAUCUCUAUAUAUUCUUUUUGUUGAGUUUCAACCACAUAGGGUUGAAAUUCACCUUCCCACAUUACAUUUUUCAUCAAUAGUUGAAGACCUAUGUAUGUAAAUAUCAGGAACUAUCAGAACUCCCUGCAACAGGAAACCUGACCCCCAACUCCCCCGAAAUGCAUCAUGAUAAACAGUCACUUGCCAAAAUAACAAAUCAGCUUCCUGGAACAUGCUUGCUCAAAACCAGGAGAGGAGCUUAGAGACGUCAGCUUGACUUCUGCCUCGUACGCAGGAAGGGUGACCUUCAAAGAUCAAACAUCGUCCCAAAUCUCCCUUCAUCUUGUAGUACUCCUGCUUGUCGUAGCUCCUGUUACCAUCAGAGACAGAAUGUGCUAUAACCUUCUGGAAACUUCUACUAUUUUCCUGCAACCUGACUACCCCUUAGGUGAGGGAGUCCAGAAUGCUGGCUUGAAAUGGGAGAGAGAAAGAACUGCCACAUAAUUUGCAAGAUCUUUUUUGAAAAAGAAAAGGUAUUAAGAAUUCCAGGACAGCAUUAGGAAUGUAUUAAACCAGAAUAAGGAACAGCGGAGCUUCCCCCUAAGACCCUGGUGUGUUUCUGCAUCAGGAAACCUUCUCUCCUGCAAUGUGUUGGCAUGCACCUAUCUUCUAGGAUGGAGCUCUAUGAGGAGAGAGACCCUACUAUUCACUUUUCUAUUUCCAGGCCAC